GAUGAAACCGCUAAGCCGGGAAGGCUUUAACACAGUCAAGUCGAAGGGCAGCACGAUGUAGCGAAUACGUUGGUGGCGACCGGCGCACGGGUUGAGUAACGGUAUGUAACCUGCCCUUUACCGGAGGAUAACCCGGAGAAAUUCGGACUAAUAUUCCAUAAAGAUACUUAGAGGCAUCUUUGAGUAUUUAAAGCUACGGUGGUAAAGGAGGGGCAUGCGUAACAUUAGCUAGUUGGGAGGGUAACGUCCUGCCAAGGCAAUGAUGUUUAGGGGACCUGAGAGGGUGAUACCCCCACACUGGUACUGAGACACGGACCAGACUCCUACGGGAGGCAGCAGUGAGGAAUAUUGGUCAAUGGGCGACAGCCUGAACCAGCCAUCCCGCGUGAAGGAAGAAAGCGCUAUGCGUUGUAAACUUCUUUCCAGAGGGAUAAAAUGAUGUACGCGUACAUUACUGAAGGUACUCUGGGAAUAAGCAUCGGCUAACUCCGUG
rnacentral:rRNA from 1 species